rnacentral:rRNA from 1 species
AUAAUGGGUCAGCGACUUAUAUUCUGUAGCAAGGUUAACCGAAUAGGGGAGCCGAAGGGAAACCGAGUCUUAACUGGGCGUUAAGUUGCAGGGUAUAGACCCGAAACCCGGUGAUCUAGCCAUGGGCAGGUUGAAGGUUGGGUAACACUAACUGGAGGACCGAACCGACUAAUGUUGAAAAAUUAGCGGAUGACUUGUGGCUGGGGGUGAAAGGCCAAUCAAACCGGGAGAUAGCUGGUUCUCCCCGAAAGCUAUUUAGGUAGCGCCUCGUGAAUUCAUCUCCGGGGGUAGAGCACUGUUUCGGCAAGGGGGUCAUCCCGACUUACCAACCCGAUGCAAACUGCGAAUACCGGAGAAUGUUAUCACGGGAGACACACGGCGGGUGCUAACGUCCGUCGUGAAGAGGGAAACAACCCAGACCGCCAGCUAAGGUCCCAAAGUCAUGGUUAAGUGGGAAACGAUGUGGGAAGGCCCAGACAGCCAGGAUGUUGGCUUAGAAGCAGCCAUCAUUUAAAGAAAGCGUAAUAGCUCACUGGUCGAGUCGGCCUGCGCGGAAGAUGUAACGGGGCUAAACCAUGCACCGAAGCUGCGGCAGCGACGCUGAUGCGUUGUUGGGUAGGGGAGCGUUCUGUAAGCCUGUGAAGGUGUGCUGUGAGGCAUGCUGGAGGUAUCAGAAGUGCGAAUGCUGACAUAAGUAACGAUAAAGCGGGUGAAAAGCCCGCUCGCCGGAAGACCAAGGGUUCCUGUCCAACGUUAAUCGGGGCAGGGUGAGUCGACCCCUAAGGCGAGGCCGAAAGGCGUAGUCGAUGGGAAACAGGUUAAUAUUCCUGUACUUGGUGUUACUGCGAAGGGGGGACGGAGAAGGCUAUGUUGGCCGGGCGACGGUUGUCCCGGUUUAAGCGUGUAGGCUGGUUUUCCAGGCAAAUCCGGAAAAUCAAGGCUGAGGCGUGAUGACGAGGCACUACGGUGCUGAAGCAACAAAUGCCCUGCUUCCAGGAAAAGCCUCUAAGCAUCAGGUAACAUCAAAUCGUACCCCAAACCGACACAGGUGGUCAGGUAGAGAAUACCAAGGCGCUUGAGAGAACUCGGGUGAAGGAACUAGGCAAAAUGGUGCCGUAACUUCGGGAGAAGGCACGCUGAUAUGUAGGUGAAGCGACUUGCUCGUGGAGCUGAAAUCAGUCGAAGAUACCAGCUGGCUGCAACUGUUUAUUAAAAACACAGCACUGUGCAAACACGAAAGUGGACGUAUACGGUGUGACGCCUGCCCGGUGCCGGAAGGUUAAUUGAUGGGGUCAGCGCAAGCGAAGCUCUUGAUCGAAGCCCCGGUAAACGGCGGCCGUAACUAUAACGGUCCUAAGGUAGCGAAAUUCCUUGUCGGGUAAGUUCCGACCUGCACGAAUGGCGUAAUGAUGGCCAGGCUGUCUCCACCCGAGACUCAGUGAAAUUGAACUCGCUGUGAAGAUGCAGUGUACCCGCGGCAAGACGGAAAGACCCCGUGAACCUUUACUAUAGCUUGACACUGAACAUUGAGCCUUGAUGUGUAGGAUAGGUGGGAGGCUUUGAAGUGUGGACGCCAGUCUGCAUGGAGCCGGCCUUGAAAUACCACCCUUUAAUGUUUGAUGUUCUAACGUUGACCCGU